GGAAUAUUGGACAAUGGGGGCAACCCUGAUCCAGCCAUGCCGCGUGAGUGAAGAAGGCCUUAGGGUUGUAAAGCUCUUUCGACGGGGACGAUGAUGACGGUACCCGUAGAAGAAGCCCCGGCUAACUUCGUGCCAGCAGCCGCGGUAAUACGAAGGGGGCAAGCGUUGUUCGGAUUUACUGGGCGUAAAGGGCGCGUAGGCGGAUGCGUAAGUCAGAGGUGAAAGCCCUGGGCUCAACCCGGGAAUUGCCUUUGAGACUGCGUGUCUUGAGUAUGGGAGAGGGUGGCGGAAUACCCAGUGUAGAGGUGAAAUUCGUAGAUAUUGGGUAGAACACCAGUGGCGAAGGCGGCCACCUGGCCCAUAACUGACGCUGAGGCGCGAAAGCGUGGGGAGCAAACAGGAUUAGAUACCCUGGUAGUCCACGCCGUAAACGAUGUGUGCUAGCCGUUGGUGGCCCUUGAGGUCGUCGGUGGCGCAGCUAACGCGAUAAGCACACCGCC
rnacentral:rRNA from 1 species